UACGUAGGGCGCAAGCGUUAUCCGGAAUUAUUGGGCGUAAAGCGCUCGUAGGCGGUUUUGCACGUCGGAUGUGAAAGCCCGGGGCUUAACCCCGGGUCUGCAUUCGAUACGGGCAGACUGGAGUGUGGUAGGGGAGAUCGGAAUUCCUGGUGUAGCGGUGAAAUGCGCAGAUAUCAGGAGGAACACCGGUGGCGAAGGCGGAUCUCUGGGCUAUUACUGACGCUGAGGCGCGAAAGCGUGGGGAGCGAACAGG
rnacentral:rRNA from 1 species